rnacentral:rRNA from 1 species
AUUGAACGCUGGCGGCAUGCUUUACACAUGCAAGUCGAACGGUAACAGGCCUUCGGGUGCUGACGAGUGGCGAACGGGUGAGUAAUGCAUCGGAACGUACCCAGAGGUGGGGGAUAACGCAGCGAAAGCUGUGCUAAUACCGCAUGUGAUCUGAGGAUGAAAGCGGGGGACCGAGCAGCAAUGUUUGGCCUCGCGCCUUUGGAGCGGCCGAUGUCGGAUUAGCUAGUUGGUGGGGUAAAGGCCUACCAAGGCGACGAUCCGUAGCUGGUCUGAGAGGACGACCGGCCACACUGGGACUGAGACACGGCCCAGACUCCUACGGGAGGCAGCAGUGGGGAAUUUUGGACAAUGGGCGCGAGCCUGAUCCAGCAAUGCCGCGUGCGGGAAGAAGGCCUUCGGGUUGUAAACCGCUUUUGGCAGGAACGAAACGGUGUCCGCUAAUACCGGGCGCUAAUGACGGUACCUGCAGAAUAAGCACCGGCUAACUACGUG